rnacentral:rRNA from 1 species
GAUGAACGCUGGCGGCGUGCUUAACACAUGCAAGUCGAACGGUGAAGCAGGAGCUUGCUCUUGUGGAUCAGUGGCGGACGGGUGAGUAACACGUGAGCAACCUGCCCCUGACUCUGGGAUAAGCGCUGGAAACGGCGUCUAAUACUGGAUAUGUGAUGUGACCGCAUGGUCUGCAUCUGGAAAGAAUUUCGGUUGGGGAUGGGCUCGCGGCCUAUCAGCUUGUUGGUGAGGUAAUGGCUCACCAAGGCGUCGACGGUUAGCCGGCCUGAGAGGGUGACCGGCCACACUGGGACUGAGACACGGCCCAGACUCCUACGGGAGGCAGCAGUGGGGAAUAUUGCACAAUGGGCGGAAGCCUGAUGCAGCAACGCCGCGUGAGGGAUGACGGCCUUCGGGAUGUAAACCUCUUUUAGCAGGGAAGAAGCGAAAGUGACGGUACCUGCAGAAAAAGCACCGGCUAACUACGUGCCAGCCGCCGCAGUAA